AGCGAACGCUGGCGGCAGGCUUAACACAUGCAAGUCGAGCGGGCACUUUCGGGUGUCCGCGGCGGACGGGUGAGUAACGCGUGGGAACGUGCCCUCUGGUUCGGAAUAACUCAGGGAAACUUGAGCUAAUACCGGAUACGCCCUUUUGGGGAAAGGCUUGCUGCCGGAGGAUCGGCCCGCGUCUGAUUAGCUAGUUGGUGAGGUAACGGCUCACCAAGGCGACGAUCAGUAGCUGGUCUGAGAGGAUGGUCAGCCACACUGGGACUGAGACACGGCCCAGACUCCUACGGGAGGCAGCAGUGGGGAAUAUUGGACAAUGGGCGCAAGCCUGAUCCAGCCAUGCCGCGUGAGUGAUGAAGGCCUUAGGGUUGUAAAGCUCUUUUAUCCGGGACGAUAAUGACGGUACCGGAGGAAUAAGCCCCGGCUAACUUCGUG
rnacentral:rRNA from 1 species